rnacentral:lncRNA from 1 species
CAGGGUGGAUUUGAGAGGCUCUGUUAACUAACAGCCUUUAAAAACACACUGAGGGACGGCAGGUGAGCAUCCCUGCUGCAACUUGAUGUGGUUAAAGCAAGGUUAGAGGGGGAUGAGGAGCUCCUCUGGGCUCAGGAGCCUCUGACCUGAGCAAAAGUUCCCUCUGCCAGGGCUACAAGGGAUGUGAUGCUGCUGAAGUUUGUUGUUGUAGCACUCACACACCCAGGACUCAGGAAUCAGCUCGAGUCAGGGUCUCACACAGACCUGGUGCAGCUCCUUUUAACCUCCCUGCCUUCCAAAGGAUUCCUUGCCAGCGCUGCCACGUGAACUCAGUUAAUUACAGGGGAGGAAAUUACAGCCCCACAGACUUCACAGAGAAUAUUCGGCACAGGCUUAUUUGUUGCACCUGUCUGUGUCUCCCUAACUCCAGAAAUUAGAGCUGAAAUCCCCGGCUACAUCUGCUUUGGCCAGAGAAGAGCCUCAGUCAAAGUGGGUCAACGCUAUGCUCCACCUUUGGCACAGACACAAAUGCUAUUUUUUUAUGUGGUUCAGUGGGAGGAAUGGUUUUGAUCAUUAAAAGCAAAGCAAAAAUUAUUUCAAGCAAAAUUCCAGAGCCUCUCUG